CUAUGGCUAAUUCUAACUAACUAUUAUGCUUAUUAAUAGUCUUGCCACCACUACUUUCUUGUUCUUGAUUUGCUGAAGCUUUGCCCCUACUGCUGUUACUGCAUUCUCUGCUACCAUCUUUUAGUUGGGAGCUUUCCAUCUUUGUAUUGUAUUUGUACUUGUUAUCUCAACACUGAUGAAUAUCUAAAAUCCUGACACUUUUGUUAUUCCAGCAAAUUUCCUACAAGAAAAAAACAAAAAUGAGUUUCUAUCAGAACUCGAAAACAUAAUCAACGAAGAAAAUUAUAGAUAAGAAGACAAGAUUUACGUUGAAAAACCCAAA
rnacentral:lncRNA from 1 species